rnacentral:rRNA from 1 species
UAAGCCAUGCAUGUCUCAGUACAAGCCAAAUUAAGGUGAAACCGCGAAAGGCUCAUUAAAUCAGUUAUGGUUCCUUAGAUCGUACCACACAUUUACUUGGAUAACUGUGGUAAUUCUAGAGCUAAUACAUGCAAACAGAGUUCCAACCGGAGACGGAAGGAGCGCUUUUAUUAGAUCAAAACCAAUCGGUAGCAGUUAGCUCUUCACGGGGCUGCUGUUUCCGUACACAAAUUGGUGACACUGAAUAACUUUAUGUUGAUCGCACGGUCUUGCACCGGCGACAUAUCUUUCAAAUGUCUGACUUAUCAACUGUCGAUGGUAGGUUCUGCGCCUACCAUGGUCGUAACGGGUAACGGGGAAUCAGGGUUCGAUUCCGGAGAGGGAGCCUGAGAAACGGCUACCACAUCCAAGGAAGGCAGCAGGCGCGCAAAUUACCCACUCCCGGCACGGGGAGGUAGUGACGAAAAAUAACGAUACGGGACUCAUCCGAGGCCCCGUAAUCGGAAUGAGUACACUCUAAACCCUUUAACAAGGAUCAAUUGGAGGGCAAGUCUGGUGCCAGCAGCCGCGGUAAUUCCAGCUCCAAUAGCGUAUAUUAAAGUUGUUGCGGUUAAAAAGCUCGUAGUCGAAUUUGUGUUCCGUACUGUUGGUUCAUCGUUCGCGGUGUCAACUGGCAUGUUACGGAACGUCCUGUCGGUGGGCUUAGCUCGCAAGGGCGGUCCAACUUGAAAUUCAAAUCCUGCCUUUGGUGCUCUUCAUUGAGUGCCAAGGUGGGCCGACACAUUUACUUUGAACAAAUUAGAGUGCUUAAAGCAGGCUAAAAUACACGCCUGAAUAUUCUGUGCAUGGAAUAAUGGAAAAGGACCUCGGUUCUAUUUUGUUGGUUUUCGGAACCCCGAGGUAAUGAUUAAUAGGAACGGAUGGGGGCAUUCGUAUUGCGACGUUAGAGGUGAAAUUCUUGGAUCGUCGCAAGACGGACAGAAGCGAAAGCAUUUGCCAAAAACGCUUUCAUUGAUCAAGAACGAAAGUUAGAGGUUCGAAGGCGAUCAGAUACCGCCCUAGUUCUAACCAUAAACGAUGCCAGCUAGCGAUCCGCCGACGUUCCUCCGAUGACUCGGCGGGCAGCUUCCGGGAAACCAAAGCUUUUGGGUUCCGGGGGAAGUAUGGUUGCAAAGCUGAAACUUAAAGGAAUUGACGGAAGGGCACCACCAGGAGUGGAGCCUGCGGCUUAAUUUGACUCAACACGGGAAACCUCACCAGGCCCAGACACUGGAAGGAUUGACAGAUUGAGAGCUCUUUCUUGAUUCAGUGGGUGGUGGUGCAUGGCCGUUCUUAGUUGGUGGAGCGAUUUGUCUGGUUAAUUCCGAUAACGAACGAGACUCUAGCCUGCUAAAUAGGCGCAAUACGACAUCUCAAAGGCUCGCCGGUUUUCGGGGGUUAUGUGUGUGUAGUUGCAGCGUUUCGGCGUUGUGCUCACCAUAUAUACAACUGUUAAUUUGUGCGUAGUUUUUACUGUCGGCGUACAAUACAAAUCUUCUUAGAGGGACAGGCGGCUUCUAGCCGCACGAGAUUGAGCAAUAACAGGUCUGUGAUGCCCUUAGAUGUUCUGGGCCGCACGCGCGCUACACUGAAGGAAUCAGCGUGUCCUCCCUGGCCGAGUGGCCCGGGUAACCCGUUGAACCUCCUUCGUGCUAGGGAUUGGGGCUUGCAAUUGUUCCCCAUGAACGAGGAAUUCCCAGUAAGUGCGAGUCAUAAGCUCGCAUUGAUUACGUCCCUGCCCUUUGUACACACCGCCCGUCGCUACUACCGAUUGAAUGAUUUAGUGAGGUCUUCGGACUGGUACGCGGUGGCGUUUACGCGUUGCCGAUGUUACUGGGAAGAUGACCAAACUUGAUUAUUUAGAGGAAGUAAAAGUCGUAACAAGGUUUCC